rnacentral:rRNA from 1 species
GGGGAAUAUUGGACAAUGGGCGAAAGCCUGAUCCAGCCAUGCCGCGUGUGUGAAGAAGGCCUUUUGGUUGUAAAGCACUUUAAGUGGGGAGGAAAAGCUUAUGGUUAAUACCCAUAAGCCCUGACGUUACCCACAGAAUAAGCACCGGCUAACUCUGUGCCAGCAGCCGCGGUAAUACAGAGGGUGCAAGCGUUAAUCGGAAUUACUGGGCGUAAAGCGCGCGUAGGUGGUUAUUUAAGUCAGAUGUGAAAGCCCCGGGCUUAACCUGGGAACUGCAUCUGAUACUGGAUAACUAGAGUAGGUGAGAGGGGAGUAGAAUUCCAGGUGUAGCGGUGAAAUGCGUAGAGAUCUGGAGGAAUACCGAUGGCGAAGGCAGCCCCCUGGCAUCAUACUGACACUGAGGUGCGAAAGCGUGGGUAGCAAACAGGAUUAGAUACCCUGGUAGUCCACGCCGUAAACGAUGUCUACCAGUCGUUGGGUCUUUUAAAGACUUAGUGACGCAGUUAACGCAAUAAGUAGACCGCCUGGGGAGUACGGCCGCAAGGUUA